rnacentral:tRNA from 1 species
GGCCUUAUGGUCUAGUAGUAUGAUUCUCGCUUUGGGUGCGAGAGGUCCGGGUUCAAUUCCCGUGAGGCCC